CGUGCCCGCGCAGCGGCGCAGCCGCUCGGCUCUCCGGUCGGGGCAAGGACGGCCGCCCCAACUCCGGGAGCCCCGAGCGCGGCCUUUUUUCACCGGCACCAACUCCGACCCCCUCCUGGGCGGGCGGACUGGCCAGGCUGGACCAAAAUAAGUGGCGUUUUGGGAGCGCGCACACGGGUGGGACAGGGCUGUGGACAAUGCACUCUGUCCUGACGCAUGAUGCCACAGCCUCCUGAAGCCUGGGUGGCCUUGCCGGGCCAAGGCUCUCAAAUGCACAAAAAGGAUACAGCAUGUCCUGCAGGGGUGGCUGGGCAGAGGAAGUCCAGGGAGAAAGGCCCUCCAAGGAAGCCUUCAAAGUUUGGGCUGUGCUGUCAUCAGAAAGAAGCCCCACACUCUGGACCUUAAAGGGGAAGAGGGAAGACGACAGGCCACUCCCGCCACCCCCCGCCAGCUGCCGCCAUCAGAGCCCCACCUCCAGGCAUGAUUGUGUGGGGGACCCAGCCUCACGGGAGUGCCACGCAGCAUCCCCUUCCUACCCACCUGCAGGAGGAAGCCAUGCAGCGCCUGGAGCGUGGCGUUUGGAAGGGCAGCGGGGUCAGCCAAAGCCGCACCUUGCAGAACAUGCGCCACCUCUUCUGGAGCGAGGACUGCGCUGCUCCGGAACCGCACAAACUGCCCAGGAGAGAAGCCCCAGCACCAGGAAUCCGCAGCUCCUUCAUGCAGCCCUAUCUCCUGUGCCCCUGCCGUGCUCAGCACGAGCUGCAGCCCCAGCUCUGAAGCCCCCAGAAUCUGGCCUUCCAGGAGCUUGGGGUUGGCAGGUGUGGGGUUGUGUCAUGGUGCGUAGGGUGCACGACACCCCCAAGACCCUGAGUUGGCCUGCUGUGACCCCCUGGCGCUGAACCUCAGACUGUGUGGGCACUCGACCUCCAGCACGUGCUCUCCUAGCUGCCAUUCUCACUUCUCCACCUGGAAUACCUGUCCCCCUCCACCUGCCAGACCUGCAAGUCUCAGCUGAAAUGGUAGCGCCCCUGCUGAGUGUCCUUUCAUUUCAUUGCAGAGAUACAGGCAUUAACUGAGUGCGCACGACAUUCCCUCCCUCUCAACGGUGGCAGCGACAAUUACUUUGUUCUCUGUUCCCAGUCACUGAUUUACCCAUCAGUCACCUCACUGUCACGCGUGGGCUUUGGCUUUGUUGUUUACUCAACAGGCACGUAGUACAGGCCAGACAAUUAGCCUAUCUCCUGCUCUGCCAGUAAUGACGUCGUUUAACCACUAGUUGGCUUCUCUGUCUCCUCUAGACUGAGGAAGCCUAAAAGGCAAGAGUUUAGCUCACUGGCCUCUUGCGCCCAUCGCACGGAAUGGUCGAUAUUUCCCAAGCGUCGGGGUUUACUGGGGUGAGGAGAUUUGGGCAAGUAGAGGAAUCCCUGAGCAGGCCUCGUGUAGGGGAACAGCUCACUCAGCCCCUCUGUUUUCUUUGAAGAUUCAGGGUGGCCUAAAGUAAGGUGUCCGUAUUCUACAGGUCAGGACCACCCAACUCAUGACAUUCUUCAGACCACAAGACCAUCCUUCUGCACCUACCAGGGUCAUGAGCCUCAAGAUCUCUGGCCUGAGGAAGGAGUUCUCGCCAGCAUCCAGGAGGGUGAACAGCAAAAACCGAUUCCAGGGCUGGGAGGCCACAUGGCGCGCUACAGGAAACACCAGUCACUGUGGGUUGUUAACACCGCUUUCCCAAAGGCCUAGGAACCCUGCUAGAGAGGGCUGUAGCUACAGGUCCCAAAAGGGCAGCUCAGCCACAAGCAAGUUGACUCCAGGUUUCUUCUCUGCUGCCUGGCUCAGUGAGACCACACAUCCCACUGGUGGGGGAAGAAGCAGCAGGCAGGGCUCCGCCGCUUCAAAGCUGCAGGACCUCGGCUAGGCAUGUCACCGACCUCACUGAGCCACAGUGUCCGCAACCAUAUACGAGCGUGAGCAUGUUGUGCAGUGCUGUUAGCAGCAUUCAGCAAAAUGAUUGUGUGUCACACAACAAGGGAUGGGAGUGUGGAGUAGUGGGGUGGCUAGGGCUGGCCCCCAAAAAAUACCCCCAUGAAAAAUGUCAGUGAACAGGGAGGGUUUCUACCAAUGUCUGGGCUCCGAGUAUGCAGGUAGUCAAGCAAGGCCUCCAGGCAACCGACGCAGGCAUGGGACAGCAGAGGGUCCUUCUGCAAGAAAAGAAAACCCAGAGAAAUUCAUGUCAGGAUUUGCUACCAAUGAGUUCUGGGGCUAAUACAAAAUUCUGAAAACAUUUGGUUUUCAGAAUAAUUUGGAUUACAGAAUUUCAGAUUUGUCGAUAAUCAAGAAAUGUUUGAUGGUUUCAUCUUUCACCCACAGAGUAUCACACUUGCUUACACUGGCCAUUUACGCAGUCGGAGGCUGCUUUGUUUCAGAAAAGGAGAUAAGCCUUGGGCCCCAAAAGAGAUUCACAGAUUACAGACUAAGAGCCCCGUAAUUUAUCUAAAGCAGCAAAAUGUUUCAUCAAACCAAAUGAUGCUCUAAUAAAGAUCUCAUCAUGUCAGACCUCCCCUGGUGGCUCAGCAGUUGAGCACUGGGCUGCGAAGCUGCCCGCAGCCUCUGCAGCACCGGUUCCAUCCCCAGCCACUGGCACGACAGACCUCUCCUGCCGCCCACUGCUCCCCUCAGCAGUGUACUUCAUCUAUCUGUUCUGCUCCCCACUCUGGCCCUGGUUAAUUUUCUCAUCCUCCCAUGCUUCUGACUAUACCCAGUGCUUGUAUAAAUAAAUAAAUAAAUCUUAAGAAAAAAAAAUCUCAUCAUGUCAUUCGGGAAAUAAAGUCCCCAUGUGCUGCCAUUCCACACACACCAUUACUUGGAACCUUAAAAGUUGAGGAUACCAAGGACUUCCAGGACUCUCAGACACAGGUGUGAAGGUAGAAUGGUGCGGCCACUGUGAAAUGAAUGUACCAGCUGAAUGGCUUCUUCUACAAUUAAACACAGACCUACUGCAAGUAGGUAGAAUUUCAAGAUGGCCCCAUGGCCUUUGCUCCCAGAUGCUAUUCCUGUGAUUAUGUAACAUUGUUUGGCAGAUUUCUCAGAUGGGCCCAACCUAAUCACUGUAGCCUUCUAAAAGCAGAGUUUUCUCUGGCUCCUGGCAGAAGAACUGAAGAGAGUGGAGUUUAACAGGAACGACGUGUUGCUGCAGUGAAAAUGGUGUGGCCAUGUGAGCAAGACCUCGCAGAGCUGAAGAGGCCCCUGAGGAACAAGUGGGGUUUCAGCCUCAUGAGACCCUAAGUGCAGAGUCUGAGUCAUCAGCUGUCUGACACAGAAUUGUGAGGUAACGCACGGGUGUCGAGUGAAGACAUUUCAUGUGUAAUAACUUGUUACACAGCAACAGAAAACCGAUAACAUCAUUUGAACCGGGCGCCUGACUCCUAGGUAUUUACCCAAGAGAAAUGAAAACAAAGAUCCACACAGAUUUGUACACAGCAGGUCCCUGAAUAUUAUAACACUGAUGAGGAGAAGAAAUCCUGGCCAACGUGAACAAAACAAGGACCUGGUUUCAUUAUGUUGGGGUUUUUUUUGUUUUUGAUUAAAGUCACAGUGAGCACUUACUGUACUUCCCCUUAAUGCUGAAAGACUCCUUUUGUUUGUAGAUGAAGAAAGUGAGAACCUGUGAGAGGAAGUGACCAGCUGAAGUUAAGCUAGUGGCUGGGCAGGGCUGAGGUGCAGUUCUGCGUGAGUCCGGCCAGCCCACCUUCCACUGCUUUGUACUGGGCCCCCCAAGACUGCUAAUGACUGUGCAGACUCUGCCCACCACUCAGUCCACUGAGGCCACUGCUGCUCUGGCCCAGAGAUGUCAGGGAGGACAACACCCGGCAACCCGGCUUCCGUCUUUAACCCCUUGAGAUGUACGGCUCUAUCAUUCCAGAAUAUUUUCAUCACUCCAAAGAGAAACCCAUACUCAUUAGCUGUGGCUCCCAUCUCUGUGGCUGUAUCCUCACUGGCCAUGGACAUGGAAUCAUGCACCAUGUGGCCUUUCGUGACUGGCUUCUUUCUCUGGGCAUGUUUUCAAGGCUCACCUAUGCUGCAGGAGGACUGUGAACUCAACCCUUGUUGCCUCCUUAGGAUUCACUGGCUGCCCGUGCAUUCCUGGGAACAUGGACAAUGGAUCACAUCACAACCCUAAUACAGUUCCCUCUGCCCUCUGUGGAUGAUAGUGGCAUCAGCAACAAACAUCUGCUGACUGCCAAGAAAACAUCCUCCUGGGAGGCAGACUCCUUGAUUCCUGUUAUCUACACAGCCUGGCACCUCCUAAGACCUGGAAUUGGGAAGUCCUGACUCCCCUGCCCCUUAGAAGGUCCCAGUACUCCUGCUAUUAGAAGAGUUGGGUGUUUUGGAGUACCUAUCCCGCUGACUGCCUUGAUGAAUAAAACUCUUCUAUAUGAAGACAAUUCUCACAAAUCAGUUUGGCUUUCUGGGCGGGAGUAAAAAACCCGGUUUGGUUACAGUGCUAUGAACACUUUACACAAGUUUUUGUGUACACAUUUGUGUAGAUGAAUGCUUUCCAUUUUCUUGGGCAACUACCAAAGGGUAGAGUAAUGGAUCACUUGGCAAUUUAUGAAGUAUUUUGAAGUAGUUCCAGGCUGUUUCCCAAAGCAGCUGCACAUGGGGCCUUCCUCUAACCCACAUCCUCGGGUGGUCUCUGGUAUUACCUGUGCUUCUGCUUGUAGCCAUCCCCAUGGGUGUAAAAUGGCCUCGCUGUCAUUCACUGGGGUCAGCGCAGCCUCUUGCUCAACAGCAACCUGCCUCCAGGCUCUCUCCACCCACCUACCUUCCCUACCUUGGCUGCCUUGGUGAGCUUCCAAACACAGUCCGCUGGAGUCCUUCCUUGACACCCGCAGUGCUUAGCCGCCACCAAUCUGGCCCCUGCCUCGACUUUGCAUUUCAUCCACUUGCGCCACACCCCCACACUUUCAUCACCUGACUGUCAUGUUACAUGACUUUGCUCACACUGUCCUUCCUGCCUGGAAUGCCUUUCCAUCUACCUAGACACCCUUCAGGCUGGAGUUCAAACGCCCCUUCUCUGACCACCCCUCCCCUCGGGUGGUUGUUGCCAAAAGGAAAUUUACAUUUUUAUGGAAGAAGAUAGAAAUACAAACUACCGACCAUCUAAUAAAGCACGACAAAUAUUAUCCUCAAUACAGGACUGAGUAAGCCAUCCUGGGAGCUGAGCAGAGAGGGGCUUCCUCUAUUCUUGGAUCACCGUGGAGAAAUGUGCACUGAGCGGAAGAAUAACUGAAUAAAGAACUAUUUUAAAAUGACAAACCU